CAUGCAGGCGGUCGGACGCGUUUUGUGUGACAGCGGGUGGCUUAACUACCCGAGUAUGCGAAAGACGGUCUGACUUGAGGGCUCGAGAGGGACACGGAAUUCCGGGUGGAGUGGUGAAAUGCGUAGAGAUCCGGAGGAACACCGAAGGCGAAGGCAGUGUCCUGGCGAGUGACUGACGCUGAGGUGCGAAAGCCAGGGGAGCGAACGGGAUUAGAUACCCCGGUAGUCCUGGCCGUAAACGAUGACCACCAGGUGUGGGAGGUAUCGACCCCUUCCGUGCCGGAGUCAACACACUAAGUGGUCCGCCUGGGGAGUACGGUCGCAAGAUUAAA
rnacentral:rRNA from 1 species